rnacentral:rRNA from 1 species
ACCACGAGAGGUGGGGACGUCAGGCGGAACGUGCCGGUGACAAACCGGAGGAAGGUGGGGACGACGUCAAGUCAUCAUGGCCCUUAUGUCCUGGGCUACACACGUGCUACAAUGGCCGGUACAGAGCGCAGCGAGGCCGCGAGGCGGAGCGAAUCGCUUAAAGCCGGUCCCAGUACGGAUUGGAGUCUGCAACCCGACUCCAUGAAGUUGGAAUCGCUAGUAAUCGCGCAUCAGCAUGGCGCGGUGAAUACGUUCCCGGGCCUU